rnacentral:ncRNA from 1 species
CCACGUCCCGACGCAAUCCCGCCCCCCCGGCGCCGGACCUUCCGAGUCGGACUUCGGCCGCCUCCCCCCCCCGGCGCCGAGGUCCGGCUCUUUU